rnacentral:rRNA from 1 species
UUUACAUUUGAGUGAGUGGCGAACUGGUGAGUAACACGUGGGAAACCUGCCCAGAAGCGGGGGAUAACACCUGGAAACAGAUGCUAAUACCGCAUAACAACUUGGACCGCAUGGUCCGAGYUUGAAAGAUGGCUUCGGCUAUCACUUUUGGAUGGUCCCGCGGCGUAUUAGCUAGAUGGUGRGGUAACGGCUCACCAUGGCAAUGAUACGUAGCCGACCUGAGAGGGUAAUCGGCCACAUUGGGACUGAGACACGGCCCAAACUCCUACGGGAGGCAGCAGUAGGGAAUCUUCCACAAUGGACGAAAGUCUGAUGGAGCAACGCCGCGUGAGUGAAGAAGGGUUUCGGCUCGUAAAACUCUGUUGUUAAAGAAGAACAUAUCUGAGAGUAACUGUUCAGGUAUUGACGGUAUUUAACCAGAAAGCCACGGCUAACUACGUGCCAGCAGCCGCGGUAAUACGUAGGUGGCAAGCGUUGUCCGGAUUUAUUGGGCGUAAAGCGAGCGCAGGCGGUUUUUUAAGUCUGAUGUGAAA